GAUUAAGUUAUUAAGGGCGCACGGUGGAUGCCUUGGCACUAGAAGCCGAUGAAGGACGUUACUAACGACGAUAUGCUUUGGGGAGCUGUAAGUAAGCUUUGAUCCAGAGAUUUCCGAAUGGGGAAACCCAGCAUGAGUUAUGUCAUGUUAUCGAUAUGUGAAUACAUAGCAUAUCAGAAGGCACACCCGGAGAACUGAAACAUCUUAGUACCCGGAGGAAGAGAAAGAAAAUUCGAUUCCCUUAGUAGCGGCGAGCGAAACGGGAAGAGCCCAAACCAACAAGCUUGCUUGUUGGGGUUGUAGGACACUCUAUACGGAGUUACAAAGGACGACAUUAGACGAAUCAUCUGGAAAGAUGAAUCAAAGAAGGUAAUAAUCCUGUAGUCGAAAAUGUUGUCUCUCUUGAGUGGAUCCUGAGUACGACGGAGCACGUGAAAUUCCGUCGGAAUCUGGGAGGACCAUCUCCUAAGGCUAAAUACUCUCUAGUGACCGAUAGUGAACCAGUACCGUGAGGGAAAGGUGAAAAGCACCCCGGAAGGGGAGUGAAAUAGAACCUGAAACCGUGUGCUUACAAGUAGUCAGAGCCCGUUAAUGGGUGAUGGCGUGCCUUUUGUAGAAUGAACCGGCGAGUUACGAUUUGAUGCAAGGUUAAGCAGUAAAUGUGGAGCCGUAGCGAAAGCGAGUCUGAAUAGGGCGUUUAGUAUUUGGUCGUAGACCCGAAACCAGGUGAUCUACCCUUGGUCAGGUUGAAGUUCAGGUAACACUGAAUGGAGGACCGAACCGACUUACGUUGAAAAGUGAGCGGAUGAACUGAGGGUAGCGGAGAAAUUCCAAUCGAACCUGGAGAUAGCUGGUUCUCUCCGAAAUAGCUUUAGGGCUAGCCUCAAGUGAUGAUUAUUGGAGGUAGAGCACUGUUUGGACGAGGGGCCCCUCUCGGGUUACCGAAUUCAGACAAACUCCGAAUGCCAAUUAAUUUAACUUGGGAGUCAGAACAUGGGUGAUAAGGUCCGUGUUCGAAAGGGAAACAGCCCAGACCACCAGCUAAGGUCCCAAAAUAUAUGUUAAGUGGAAAAGGAUGUGGCGUUGCCCAGACAACUAGGAUGUUGGCUUAGAAGCAGCCAUCAUUUAAAGAGUGCGUAAUAGCUCACUAGUCGAGUGACACUGCGCCGAAAAUGUACCGGGGCUAAACAUAUUACCGAAGCUGUGGAUUGUCCUUUGGACAAUGGUAGGAGAGCGUUCUAAGGGCGUUGAAGCAUGAUCGUAAGGACAUGUGGAGCGCUUAGAAGUGAGAAUGCCGGUGUGAGUAGCGAAAGACGGGUGAGAAUCCCGUCCACCGAUUGACUAAGGUUUCCAGAGGAAGGCUCGUCCGCUCUGGGUUAGUCGGGUCCUAAGCUGAGGCCGACAGGCGUAGGCGAUGGAUAACAGGUUGAUAUUCCUGUACCACCUAUAAUCGUUUUAAUCGAUGGGGGGACGCAGUAGGAUAGGCGAAGCGUGCGAUUGGAUUGCACGUCUAAGCAGUAAGGCUGAGUAUUAGGCAAAUCCGGUACUCGUUAAGGCUGAGCUGUGAUGGGGAGAAGACAUUGUGUCUUCGAGUCGUUGAUUUCACACUGCCGAGAAAAGCCUCUAGAUAGAAAAUAGGUGCCCGUACCGCAAACCGACACAGGUAGUCAAGAUGAGAAUUCUAAGGUGAGCGAGCGAACUCUCGUUAAGGAACUCGGCAAAAUGACCCCGUAACUUCGGGAGAAGGGGUGCUCUUUAGGGUUAACGCCCAGAAGAGCCGCAGUGAAUAGGCCCAAGCGACUGUUUAUCAAAAACACAGGUCUCUGCUAAACCGUAAGGUGAUGUAUAGGGGCUGACGCCUGCCCGGUGCUGGAAGGUUAAGAGGAGUGGUUAGCUUCUGCGAAGCUACGAAUCGAAGCCCCAGUAAACGGCGGCCGUAACUAUAACGGUCCUAAGGUAGCGAAAUUCCUUGUCGGGUAAGUUCCGACCCGCACGAAAGGCGUAACGAUUUGGGCACUGUCUCAACGAGAGACUCGGUGAAAUCAUAGUACCUGUGAAGAUGCAGGUUACCCGCGACAGGACGGAAAGACCCCGUGGAGCUUUACUGUAGCCUGAUAUUGAAAUUCGGCACAGCUUGUACAGGAUAGGUAGGAGCCUUUGAAACGUGAGCGCUAGCUUACGUGGAGGCGCUGGUGGGAUACUACCCUAGCUGUGUUGGCUUUCUAACCCGCACCACUUAUCGUGGUGGGAGACAGUGUCAGGCGGGCAGUUUGACUGGGGCGGUCACCUCCUAAAAGGUAACGGAGGCGCUCAAAGGUUCCCUCAGAAUGGUUGGAAAUCAUUCAUAGAGUGUAAAGGCAUAAGGGAGCUUGACUGCGAGACCUACAAGUCGAGCAGGGUCGAAAGACGGACUUAGUGAUCCGGUGGUUCCGCAUGGAAGGGCCAUCGCUCAACGGAUAAAAGCUACCCCGGGGAUAACAGGCUUAUCUCCCCCAAGAGUUCACAUCGACGGGGAGGUUUGGCACCUCGAUGUCGGCUCAUCGCAUCCUGGGGCUGUAGUCGGUCCCAAGGGUUGGGCUGUUCGCCCAUUAAAGCGGUACGCGAGCUGGGUUCAGAACGUCGUGAGACAGUUCGGUCCCUAUCCGUCGUGGGCGUAGGAAAUUUGAGAGGAGCUGUCCUUAGUACGAGAGGACCGGGAUGGACAUACCUCUGGUGUACCAGUUGUCGUGCCAACGGCAUAGCUGGGUAGCUAUGUGUGGACGGGAUAAGUGCUGAAAGCAUCUAAGCAUGAAGCCCCCCUCAAGAUGAGAUUUCCCAACUUCGGUUAUAAGAUCCCUCAAAGAUGAUGAGGUUAAUAGGUUCGAGGUGGAAGCAUGGUGACAUGUGGAGCUGACGAAUACUAAUCGAUCGAAGACUUAAUCAA
rnacentral:rRNA from 1 species